GACGAACGCUGGCGGCGUGCUUAACACAUGCAAGUCGAAUGAAGAGCGAUGGAAGCUUACUUCUAUCAAUCUUAGUGGCGAACGGGUGAGUAACGCGUAAUCAACCUGCCCUUCAGAGGGGGACAACAGUUGGAAACGACUGCUAAUACCGCAUACGAUCUAAUCUCGGCAUCGAGGAUAGAUGAAAGGUGGCCUCUACAUGUAAGCUAUCACUGAAGGAGGGGAUUGCGUCUGAUUAGCUAGUUGGAGGGGUAACGGCCCACCAAGGCGAUGAUCAGUAGCCGGUCUGAGAGGAUGAACGGCCACAUUGGGACUGAGACACGGCCCAGACUCCUACGGGAGGCAGCAGUGGGGAAUCUUCCGCAAUGGACGAAAGUCUGACGGAGCAACGCCGCGUGAGUGAUGACGGCCUUCGGGUUGUAAAGCUCUGUUAAUCGGGACGAAAGGCCUUCUUGCGAAUAGUGAGAAGGAUUGACGGUACCGGAAGAGAAAGCCACGGCUAACUACGUG
rnacentral:rRNA from 1 species